GGUAAGUCAUUUUGUAUCGCGAU
rnacentral:snRNA from 1 species